UACGGAGGAUGCAAGCGUUAUCCGGAAUGAUUGGGCGUAAAGCGUCCGCAGGUGGCAGUUCAAGUCUGCUGUCAAAGACCGGGGCUUAACUUCGGAAAGGCAGUGGAAACUGAACAGCUAGAGUAUGGUAGGGGCAAAGGGAAUUCCUGGUGUAGCGGUGAAAUGCGUAGAGAUCAGGAAGAACAUCGGUGGCGAAGGCGCUCUGCUGGACCAUAACUGACACUCAGGGACGAAAGCUAGGGGAGCGAAUGGG
rnacentral:rRNA from 1 species